AUUGAACGCUGGCGGCAUGCCUUACACAUGCAAGUCGAACGGCAGCACGGGAGCUUGCUCCUGGUGGCGAGUGGCGAACGGGUGAGUAAUACAUCGGAACGUACCCUGAAGUGGGGGAUAACGUAGCGAAAGUUACGCUAAUACCGCAUAUUCUGUGAGCAGGAAAGAGGGGGAUCGCAAGACCUCUUGCUUUAGGAGCGGCCGAUGUCGGAUUAGCUAGUUGGUGAGGUAAAGGCUCACCAAGGCGACGAUCCGUAGCGGGUCUGAGAGGAUGAUCCGCCACACUGGGACUGAGACACGGCCCAGACUCCUACGGGAGGCAGCAGUGGGGAAUUUUGGACAAUGGGCGCAAGCCUGAUCCAGCCAUGCCGCGUGAGUGAAGAAGGCCUCGGUUGUAAAGCUCUUCGGUGGGAAGAAGUUGACUUCGGUUAAUUACCUGAGUAGAUGACGGUACCC
rnacentral:rRNA from 1 species